CUAUAAAGAGGGUCUGAAAGCUCACCUGGGCGUUAAUUCAUGGUUGAGACACACCUGAGAGACAGCAGCUGAGGCCAGCCUUUGUUUGGUGUUUGAAUUGCUUUUAUAAUCCACUCUUCCACAUGUGGGACCUGAUUCAGUCUGCCUGGUUCUGAUUAAGACCCGGCCACGUGGGACAAGAAGAUGCCGAAAGAGGGAUCUGUGGAACGUAGCAAAGAGUUUUCUUAUCUACUACAGCUGGAAACAAGGUUGUUAAGAGCAGUGGGAGUGAACCAGGACAGCACAGCUCUGGGAUGGAAAACCAAGCAAAUGAGCUGAAAGACACUAGAACGUUCUGCAAAAGUAUUUAAAAUAUAGCUUUGUUUUCUGAAUAUUU